rnacentral:rRNA from 1 species
UACGUAGGGUGCGAGCGUUGUCCGGAAUUAUUGGGCGUAAAGAGCUUGUAGGCGGUUUGUCGCGUCUGCUGUGAAAUUUCGGGGCUCAACCCCGAACUUGCAGUGGGUACUGGCAGACUAGAGUGUGGUAGGGGAGACUGGAAUUCCUGGUGUAGCGGUGAAAUGCGCAGAUAUCAGGAGGAACACCAGUGGCGAAGGCGCCGCUCUGGGCCGAGACUGACGCUGAGGAGCGAAAGCGUGGGUAGCAAACAGG